GACGAACGCUGGCGGCGUGCUUAACACUUGCAAGUCGAACGGUGAAGCGCCUUCCUUUUUGGUGGGUGUGGAUGAGUGGCGAACGGGUGAGUAACACGUGAGUAACCUGCCCCCUUCUUCUGGAUAACCGCAUGAAAGUGUGGCUAAUACGGGAUAUUCUGGGUCUGUCGCAUGAUGGGUCUGGGAAAGAUAUUGUUUCGGUGGGGGAUGGGCUCGCGGCCUAUCAGCUUGUUGGUGGGGUGAUGGCCUACCAAGGCGGUGACGGGUAGCCGGCCUGAGAGGGUGGACGGUCACACUGGGACUGAGACACGGCCCAGACUCCUACGGGAGGCAGCAGUGGGGAAUAUUGCACAAUGGGCGCAAGCCUGAUGCAGCGACGCCGCGUGAGGGAUGGAGGCCUUCGGGUUGUGAACCUCUUUCGCCAGUGAAGCAGGCCUGCCUCGUUUGUGGGUGGGUUGACGGUAGCUGGAUAAGAAGCGCCGGCUAACUACGUG
rnacentral:rRNA from 1 species